CCUACGGGUGGCAGCAGUGGGGAAUAUUGGGCAAUGGAGGCAACUCUGACGCAGCAACGCCGCGUGAAUGAUGAAGGUCUUCGGAUUGUAAAGUUCUGUGAUGGGGGAUGAACACAAUGACGGUACCCCAAUAGCAAGCCACGGCUAACUACGUGCCAGCAGCCGCGGUACUACGUAGGUGGCAACCUUUAGCCGGAAUGACUGGGCGUAAAGGGGGCGGAGGUGGGUUAGUAAGUUUGCGGGGUAAUUCCGGGGCUCCACCUCGGCGCUACCGCCAAAACUAUUAGGCUGGAGUGCAGGAGUGGUAAGUGGAAUUCCUAGUGUAGCGGUGGAAUGCGUAGAUAUUAGGAGGAACAUCAGUGGCGAAGGCGACUUACUGGACUGUAACUGACACUGAGGCACGAAAGCGUAGGGAGCAAACAGGAUUAGAUACCCUUGUAGUC
rnacentral:rRNA from 1 species